rnacentral:rRNA from 1 species
UUAAAGGAAUUGACGGAGGCCCGCACAAGCGGUGGAGCAUGUGGUUAAUUCGACGCAACGCGAAGAACCUUACCAGGGCUUGACAUCCCCUGACCGCGUAUGAAAGUACGUUUUCACCCUCGGGUGACAGGGAGACAGGUGGUGCAUGGUUGUCGUCAGCUCGUGUCGUGAGAUGUUGGGUUAAGUCCCGCAACGAGCGCAACCCCUACGUUUAGUUGCUAACGCGUGAAGGCGAGCACUCUAGACGAACUGCCGUUGACAAAACGGAGGAAGGUGGGGAUGACGUCAAAUCAUCAUGCCCCUUAUGUUCUGGGCUACACACGUGCUACAAUGGCCGGUACAGACGGACGCAAAGCCGCGAGGUGGAGCAAAUCCUAAAAAGCCGGUCUCAGUUCGGAUUGCAGGCUGCAAUUCGCCUGCAUGAAGUCGGAAUCGCUAGUAAUCGCAGGUCAGCAUACUGCGGUGAAUACGUUCCCGGGCCUU